rnacentral:rRNA from 1 species
UAGGGAAUCUUCCGCAAUGGGCGAAAGCCUGACGGAGCAACGCCGCGUGAGUGAUGAAGGUCUUCGGAUCGUAAAACUCUGUUAUUAGGGAAGAACAUAUGUGUAAGUAACUGUGCACAUCCUGACGGUACCUAAUCAGAAAGCCACGGCUAACUACGUGCCAGCAGCCGCGGUAAUACGUAGGUGGCAAGCGUUAUCCGGAAUUAUUGGGCGUAAAGCGCGCGUAGGCAGUUUUUUAAGUCUGAUGUGAAAGCCCACGGCUCAACCGUGGAGGGUCAUUGGAAACUGGAAAACUUGAGUGCAGAAGAGGAAAGUGGAAUUCCAUGUGUAGCGGUGAAAUGCGCAGAGAUAUGGAGGAACACCAGUGGCGAAGGCGACUUUCUGGUCUGUAACUGACGCUGAUGUGCGAGAGCGUGGGGAUCAAACAGGAUUAGAUACCCUGGUAGUCCACGCCGUAAACGAUGAGUGCUAAGUGUUAGGGGGUUUCCGCCCCUUAGUGCUGCAGCUAACGCAUUAAGCACUCCGCCUGGGGAGUACGACCGCAAGGUUG